AGAGUUUGAUUCUGGCUCAGGAUGAACGUUGGCUGUGUGCCUAAGGUAUGCAAGUCGAACGAUCCCUUUGAACUACUUGAGACUUCGGUUGAUUGUUUUUCUUUUUGGGAUAGUGGCAAACGGGUGAGUAACACGUGGAUAACCUACCUCGAAGUCAUGAACAGCUCAUCGAAAGAUGGGAUAAUACAUGAUGGUCUUAUAUUUUCUUUAUGAUUUUAUAAGUAAAGCUUUUGCGCUUUGAGAGGGGUCCGCGUCCUAUCAGCUUGUUGGUGAGGUAAUGGCUCACCAAGGCUAAGACGGGUAGCUGGCGUGAGAGCGCGGUCAGCCACCAUGGAACUGAGACACGGUCCAUACUCCUACGGGAGGCAGCAAUUAGGAAUCUUGCGCAAUGGGGGCAACCCUGACGCAGCGACACAGCGUGGAGGACGAAGGUCUUAGGAUUGUAAACUCCUUUUAUAUGGGAAGAAUAGAUGACGGUACCAUAUGAAUAAGCACCUGCUAACUACGUGCCAGAAGCAUCGGUGAUGCGUAGGGUGCAAACGUUAUCCGGAUUUAUUGGGCGUAUAGAGAUGCGUAGGCGUUUUUGUAAGUCUUUAGUUAAAUAUCACGGCUCAACCGUGGACAAGCUUUGGAUACUGCAAGAAUUGAGACAGGAAGAGGCGAACAGAAUUCCCAGUGGAGCGGUGAAAUGCGUUGAUAUUGGGAGGAAUAUCAGUGGCGAAGGCGGUUCGCUGGUCCUUGUCUGACGCUAAGGCUCGAAAGCGUGGGUAGCAAAACGGAUUAGAUACCCGUGUAGUCCACGCCGUAAACUAUGGAUGCUAGGUGUUCGGUACAACUAUUUUUUCCUUCGGGAAAUGAUGGAAGUAUUGAGUACCGCAGUUAACACGUUAAGCAUCCCGCCUGGGAAGUACGGCCGCAAGGCUAAAACUCAAAGGAAUUGACGGGGACCCGCACAAGCAGCGGAGCAUGUGGUUUAAUUCGAAGCAACGCGAAGAACCUUACCAGGUCUUGACAUCCUUCUGGAUAGUCCUUAGCCGGACUAGCCCUUCGGGGCAGAAGAGACAGGUGGUGCAUGGUUGUCGUCAGCUCGUGUCGUGAGAUGUUGGGUUAAGUCCCGCAACGAGCGCAACCCUUGUGUUUAGUUGCCAACAGGUAAAGCUGUGCACUCUAGACAGACUGCCGUGGAAAACACGGAGGAAGGUGGGGAUGACGUCAAAUCAUCAUGCCCCUUAUGAUCUGGGCUACACACGUGCUACAAUGGCCGGUACAACGGGCAGCGAAGGAGCGAUCCGGAGCGAAUCCUAAAAAGCCGGUCCCAGUUCGGAUUGCAGGCUGCAACUCGCCUGCAUGAAGUUGGAGUUGCUAGUAAUCGCGAAUCAGCAUGUCGCGGUGAAUGCGUUCCCGGGUCUUGUACACACCCCCGUC
rnacentral:rRNA from 1 species